UUGGCACCUGAUUUCCAGAGUGUGGAGCACUUCCAGCUGCAGCUCCUGCUGGUGGGCUGUGAACCCAGGAGCUGUAAAAGCUGCUGCUUCCCAGCGGGCACAGUGGGAUCUCACAGCACUUCCUGGCAGCCUCCUGAUGCUGAGACACAGGAUCCUGGAUGCCAUUCCCUGCCCUGGAAAGCCAGCAGCUCUGACACAGGCUGGCACAGAAAGGAAGCUCCUUCUCCCAAAGCCCCCAGCCGUCCUGAGAGCAGGUGAAGCUUACUGGACCCUGGGCAGGCCUCUCUGACUUCUGAAAGCCCAAGGCAAGGCAGCUCAUGCCCAGGAGACCCAUAAGUGCUCCCAUUUUCCUGGUGUGGUUGCACUGGUGCUACAGCUUGGCUACUUUUGCUUUCCAUCCCCACCCCUAUCACACAUCCCUCACUUCUUCCUGCCCUUCCCUUGGUGGGGCUGCUGAAUUUCAGACAGGGUUUGCUCGAGCUGGGAUACACCUGCACUGCUGCCUCUGGCUGUGCUUCCAGGUGGAGCCAGGAUUUUCUUGCUCCCAGCUUUCCUCUCUCUUCUCCUGAGCUCCACUUCCCUUUUGCCACUUGG